rnacentral:tRNA from 4 species
GGGAGUGUAGCUCAAUGGUUAGAGCACGGAGCUUAUACCUCCGGGGUUCAUGGUUCGAGUCCAUGCACUCCCACCA